UACGUAGGGUGCAAGCGUUGUCCGGAAUUAUUGGGCGUAAAGAGCUCGUAGGCGGUCUGUUGCGUCGGCUGUGAAAACUUGGGGCUCAACCCCAAGCCUGCAGUCGAUACGGGCAGACUAGAGUGCGGUAGGGGAGACUGGAAUUCCUGGUGUAGCGGUGAAAUGCGCAGAUAUCAGGAGGAACACCGGUGGCGAAGGCGGGUCUCUGGGCCGUAACUGACGCUGAGGAGCGAAAGCGUGGGGAGCGAACAGG
rnacentral:rRNA from 1 species